rnacentral:lncRNA from 1 species
GAUAACCUGCAAUGUACUCGCUCGAAAAACGUCAACAUUUACUUCGCAGCACCUGCGCGUGCGUAUAAUAUCGAUUCACAGGUGAGACGCUGUCGGUGUGGCUUUUUGGUGCGUAUAAAACGCAACAACACGAGCAGGCUCGGUGUAGCAGCGCGCGUGCGUCUGUACACGUAAAGAUAUUAUCUCGGAGGACGACGGCGCCGAACAAAAACGAGAGAGGAUGAGGAAGAGGGACGAGGAGAAGAAGGUAAUAACGCAAGAAAGAGGAGAGUAGCCGCGACGGAGCCGGAGCCCGUUGGAAAACCCUGGACGCUCAGGACAAUCCAAAACGUAGGGGUAUGGGAGGAGAAGAGGAAUAGAGAGAGCGAGGUUAAAUGCAAGGAUUCGGGGAUUCCCCAGGGCGGAUUUCGAGGGUCAGCGUAGGCAAGGCCCACAAUCAGGUACCAGCAAGCCCCCGUAGAGCAGUCGGAGCGGGGUCGAAAAUCGAGAAGUGUGUCGGCCGCUCAAUCAUCGUCGCUGACGUCGUGUUUAAUAUUUUCUCACGUGGCGAUCGCACAGGAACGAAGGAAACUUCCUAUAUUAUAUUGGGAAUGGUGUAAACGAUCACGAGCGUGUGUACACGAUAAUAGGGUAAACAAGACACCCGAAAGCGAA